GACAGAGGAUGCAAGCGUUAUCCGGAAUGAUUGGGCCUAAAGCAUCCGUAGCCGGUCCUACAAGUCUUCCGUUAAAUCCACCUGCUUAACAGAUGGGCUGCGGAAGAUACUAUAGGGCUAGGAGGCGGGAGAGGCAAGCGGUACUCAGUGGGUAGGGGUAAAAUCCUCUGAUCCAUUGAAGACCACCAGUGGCGAAGGCGGCUUGCCAGAACGCGCUCGACGGUGAGGGAUGAAAGCUGGGGGAGCAAACCGG
rnacentral:rRNA from 1 species